rnacentral:rRNA from 1 species
AGAGUUUGAUCAUGGCUCAGGACGAACGCUGGCGGCGUGCUUAACACAUGCAAGUCGAACGGUGAUGACCAGCUUGCUGGUCUGAUCAGUGGCGAACGGGUGAGUAACACGUGAGCAACCUGCCCUUCACUCUGGGAUAACCACGGGAAACGGUGGCUAAUACCGGAUACGAGACGUACCUGCAUGGGUGGCGUCUGGAAAGAUUUAUCGGUGAAGGAUGGGCUCGCGGCCUAUCAGCUUGUUGGUGGGGUAAUGGCCUACCAAGGCGACGACGGGUAGCCGGCCUGAGAGGGCGACCGGCCACACUGGGACUGAGACACGGCCCAGACUCCUACGGGAGGCAGCAGUGGGGAAUAUUGCACAAUGGGCGCAAGCCUGAUGCAGCGACGCCGCGUGAGGGAUGACGGCCUUCGGGUUGUAAACCUCUUUCAGCAGGGAAGAAGCGAAAGUGACGGUACCUGCAGAAGAAGCGCCGGCUAACUACGUGCCAGCAGCCGCGGUAAUACGUAGGGCGCAAGCGUUGUCCGGAAUUAUUGGGCGUAAAGAGCUCGUAGGCGGUUUGUCGCGUCUGCUGUGAAAACCUGAGGCUCAACCUCGGGCUUGCAGUGGGUACGGGCAGACUAGAGUGCGGUAGGGGUGACUGGAAUUCCUGGUGUAGCGGUGGAAUGCGCAGAUAUCAGGAGGAACACCGAUGGCGAGGGCAGGUCACUGGGCCGCAACUGACGCUGAGGAGCGAAAGCAUGGGGAGCGAACAGGAUUAGAUACCCUAGUAGUCC